UACGUAGGGUGCAAGCGUUAAUCGGAAUUACUGGGCGUAAAGCGUGCGCAGGCGGUGAUGUAAGACAGAUGUGAAAUCCCCGGGCUUAACCUGGGAACUGCAUUUGUGACUGCAUCGCUGGAGUGCGGCAGAGGGGGAUGGAAUUCCGCGUGUAGCAGUGAAAUGCGUAGAUAUGCGGAGGAACACCGAUGGCGAAGGCAGCCCCCUGGGCCAAUACUGACGCUGAGGCGCGAAAGCGUGGGGAGCAAACAGG
rnacentral:rRNA from 1 species